UACAGACACGACAUGCAAGAUUUCUUUUUCUUUUCUUUUUUUCUUUUUUUUUUUUUAACAAGUCAGUUGCAGUGAGCCUUGGAGACACAAAGCAGGGAGGAGUCAUCCUUGAGCAGGGGACAGUCCUCCAGAAGAGGGACCAAUGCCCAAAGGACAAGCCAUGGGUGAACCGUUUUCCAAAUGAGCGGCCACGUGGUCCUGGUGCUUUGGUCCUGGUGUUGCUGCGUUUGUUAGCUGGCUGCAAAGGUUUCAGAUCACACCUGCCCCUCAUCAGCUCUGUAGAAGAAGAAUGUGCCCAGUUCCAGGGCUUAACAGGCUGCACAGCUGCAAAGCCCUGGAUCCACCUCCUUGGCAUCAUGGCCCUCAGUUGCUCUGCUGUCACAAGACCUCUUUCUCACGGUUGCCAGCUCAGCCUGCUCUAUGAUGGGGAUCAAAAGCAGGCAAGAAAACAGUGCUCAAGAGAUGCUAUUAAAGCCAUGGUUCCCCACCUUCCUAAUGCUGUAAUUCUUUAAUACAUUCCUUAUGUUGUGCUGAUUCCCAACCUUAAAAAUAUUUUCGUUGCUAAUUCAUAACUGUAAUUUUGCUAUUGUUUUGAAUCAUAAUGUAAAUAUCUGUGUUUUCUGAUGGUGUUAGGUCACCUCAGUUGACCUAAGGGUUGUUUGACCCCUAAGAUCCGGGGAAAUGGCUUGCUGAGCUCAGACCUCUAGCACUUACAUAAAAGCUAGGCUCUGUAGAAUAAUUCUAUAUCGUCAGCACAGGAGAAAGGCAGAUUCGGGGAUCUCAAUGGCCAGCCAAUCUAGACAAAACAGUGAACUCUGAGUUCUGUGAUAGACCAUGUCUCAAAGGAGGAAUAAUAGAGGUGGACACCCAAUAGGGUCAUCUGCCCUCCACUACACAGACACACACAACACACAGACACACACUGACACACACACCAGUAGCAGCAGCAGCAGCAACACAGAGCGUCCCCAGCUGGGUCUCCAAGAGAUGCAGGCAGCCUACUUAGAUAUCCAGGGGUGGGGUGUUUGCACCAAUCAUCUCAGUAGACCUUCAUGCUGAUGAAGAAUUGGGCUUUCACCAAGCAUGGCUUUGUCUCUUUUGUACCCACAAAUCACAGCUGUCCUGCUGGAUCACCAGGUGCAGUACUCUUCUGGCCUCGGUGGAAAUGGCAGCAGGAAAGUCUACUAUGGGAUGCUUAAAAUAGUUCCAGCUGGGACCACACCCUCAGGAGCCAGAGCAAGCACUCUGGUCAUUGUGUAGACUCCCCAGAACUGCUGUAGAGUAUUCUGUAGAGUAUUCCAAAUUGUCCUCAGGCUGGUGGAAGGGAUCCCAGGGUUAGUUUACCAGCAAUUAUUUUUUUUAAGGCAGCAGGGCAGCAGUAGAGAGUCCAAAGUUGUUAGGCAGUCAAAGUGGCUCUUUUUUUUUUAACCUAUUUACAAGAAAAUAUACACCAAAACAUGCUCUUAAAAUAACUUCCUGUUAACAUGAAUAGUGAUUUACUUACAUGCUUGAGUGCUUUUAGGAAUGCACUACCCCUUACCCCAAGACAAGGUAGGUCCCCUUUUCCUGUCUCACAGGAGCCAGUGAGGCUGACUUGGAUCUCAGCAGAAACAAAGAUAAACAGAAUGCAUGAAGCCCAGUGUCUCAGCUCCAGGGGAUGAGGACCCUUGAGUCCAAGCACCAGGUAAAAGAAGACCUAAGUAUUUCCCUAGAGAGGGACCAAAAAUGGCGGCUAUCUGGCAAGGCAAAUGCAAAAGACCUGAGCCAUUUGACAAUCUGUGGAGUCUGACAAAGUGGUCACUGUUGGGUUUUGGGACGUCCUGUCCUCUGGGUCUCAGGCUGGGGCAGGAGGGUAGUGGUCAAGUAGACUAAUGUGAGGAUUAGGAUUCUGCCAUGAUACAUCUUGCCUCUCCUGUGGGCCGAGGUCCUGGAAAGUCUUGAUGGAGACCAUUUGGACUGCACUCCAAAAGUCUGCAUUUUGAUCAGUUGUGGUUUUCUUGGCAAUGGUCUCUUGCUGUUGCAAAGAGAAAUUUCCUUGAUGAGGGUUGAAGACUAUAUUAUCUGCAGGUAUAAGGACAAAUAUUUAGAGUGUAGUUAGGGUUAUUAUACUGUUUUAAUAAAAUGAUGAUUGUAGGUUCUCUUUCCAGAUUUAUGACUUUACUUGCCCUAGGUGCCCCACCUAUGUCUUUUCUGCCUAGCUAUUGACUGUCAACAUCUUUAUUUAACCAAUUGUCUAAAAUUAAGGAGCAAGGUCACAAUGUAUGUGCAGAUUCUCUUGUUCCUAGGAGCAACCAGGCCUUUGGGGCCAGUAUUUAUCAGUGCAAUACAUAUCAAAAGAUCAAACCUCAACAAUAGGGUCUCCCUAAGUACCUCUGGCUGUCCUGGGGCUCUGUAGACCAGGGAACCUCAAACUCACAGAAAUCUGCCUCAUUCUGACUCCCAAGUACAGGGAUAAAAGGCACGGGACACCAUGUUUGUUGAGCUAAGUUGUCUUAAGUCCAGUUAAACAGGUGUUGGUUACCACCAUUAGAUAAGGCAACAUGAAUAUAAAAGAAAGACCAACCUCUUCAGAAACAAAGCUAUUCUUUAAUCAAAACAACUGAAGCGCUGCAGCCACGCUGAGGGAGUGGAGACUGUGCCACAUGAUGCAGGGGGUAGUUUUAUAAGACCCAAAAGGGGACUUUUGGGAUGGAAGAUUCCAUUUGCAGCUCUGUGCACCCAAAGUUUCAAAGUAGUCCAUGCCUACCCAUGAAGGUCGGUAUAGCAGUCUUAGCCGAAGUGCCCUGGAUCCUAAAAGUCCCAGUCACUGGCCAUUCUUUCUCAGCCCACCUGAGGCUUUCUAUCGCCAAGAGGAAGUCCCUGCUUUAAGGGGACAAGUGAUAGCUGUUUGAGUUGAGAGAACACAUAAUCCAGGUCACCUUGCACACUGUGGAUGUUGAGGAAAGAGUGUGGUCUUGGUAGGGGGAAAGUAGCUAUGAUUCCACCUUCUAGACUCCUUGAUCUAAAAGUUGACAUUAAACACACUAACAAAAAUCCCUGGCGUGUUAUUAUAUAUUUAAGCUUGAAAGUCUCCCACCCCAACAAAUAAAAAACGAGGGUCCAAAGAGGGUCGAGAUGAUGUUAGCUUCCCAAGAAUGGGAAUGGAUACGGGCACGUGCAGAGGGCAUCACGUGAAGAAUUAUGGGACAGGGGAGGAAGUGUAGGGGUUAGGAACAAAGGUUGCUUUGUUUUGUCAGUAGGUCUUGACUCUCUUCUGGCACACUGCUUUCCUGAAGUAGCAGACUUCAGACAAGUCAAAAUCUCUUGAGGAACGCACAGCUUUUCAGAGUUACUCAGUAUCUGCAGUUCUCAGAAUAACCCACUCAAAAUACACCGCAGAACUUUAUUUUGAGGUGGCGCAGUCUGGUCUCCUAUGGUUGUAUUUUGAGGCCGUGUGUCCCCAGCCUCAACAGCUCUGCUGUUCUGCUUCCCCAGCUGGGCCACUUGGAGUCACUAAGAAUAGAAUCUCUGGGGAUCUGGAAGAUGGCAUCUAGAGGUGUUCUGUGUGGAUCCUGGGGUUUGACCUGACAUCAGUGCAGGAGCCCAGAGUACUCAAGGACGCCCUCAGACUUCUCAGACUGUGAGCCACUGACAGGUUAGAGAUCCCACUCUCAGGACCCCACCCCAAAUCUGGUGUGUCAAGAGAGCCCGGGGGUACUGGAGUUUCUCUUAAAGAACUGACUCUUGAAGAUAUAAACUGAACACUGAUCAGCAUUUCAUGAAAGACGAAUCCAAAGGAUGCUUCCAGUCAAUGGGAAGGAAAACCUACAUCUAAAACCUAGACCAGCAAUAUUAAUUUAAAUGGAUUUCCAAACAGCUCCCCAAUUACCUUCCACAUGAGGCAGAGCCACCUCUUCAGCGGAGGUGCCCAAAGCUAAGAGCUUUUUCUGUUGCUACCCUGAAACUAGAUGACUCCACGAGAUAAAUAACUCAUGGUUUCACUACUGAGGCUGUGGAGACAGACCAGAUCUGUCUGUCUAUGGGAAAAUGAGGACAAGGAGCCCGUCACCCUGGGUUCUGGCUGAAGAUCACGAGCUGACAUGGAGAAAUUCCAGCAGAACUAACACAAGGCCUUCUACUUUCUCAAGUACGCCCUGCAGGUCUCUGUGAAGACCCCCAGAAACCCUAUUUACAGGGAAGGAGCAAGUACUCAACUCCUUCCCACCCCUAGAGGCUCCUGGUUUAUUUUAUCAGAUUAUAAUUCCAUUCAUGGAAUAUCCAGAGACAUGCUAUAAUAAUAUUUAUCUAGAGAAAAGGAAAAACAAUGUUUCUUAGCAACCUUUUAAAAUGUAGCCAGAGAGUCACCAAAAUGUCUUAUGCCCCUAAUACCAAGGCAGUGACCCUCCCCUGGAGAGACCAUAUGGACACUUGAGUGUGUUUUAUUCUCUUUCUGAGUAAGUGCCUGUCUUUCUCUUAACCCUCAAGCCUAAUGUCAUUGGAGCUGUCUCAGUGCUGACAUUACUAAGUUUUCCACUCUGCUCUAUUCCCAUGCAGUUUUUUUCUUUAACCAAGUAAUAGACAUUGUUAAACUUAGCAUAUUCAGGCAUAUACCCACUUUCACAUGUGAUACUGAGGCUUGCCUGUGUCAAUGUUUCCAGAUUUAAAAAGAAAGAACGAACGAACGAACGAACGAACGAAAGAAAGAAAGAAAGAAAGAAAGAAAGAAGGAAGGAAGGAAGGAAGCAGACUUUUGCUGUUCGAAGAAAUGCUUGGAGGAUUAUCUCCAUUGUACUCAGGUGCUUCAAGUAGACCCUUCCUUCCUCCCUCUCUCUCUCUCCCCCUCCCCUCCCUCUCCCUCUCCCUUCCUUCCCUCUCAAAUGUCUUGCUUGUUCUUAUCGGCUUGGCACGCUCGGAGGGUGACCAGGAGCUCACCAAAGCAAGAGCUUUGGGUCCCAGUUUUUCUUUUACAUCAUUUCACAUCUUUUUACAUCAUUACAUCUUUUGCAUCAUGGCUAUUGUCCAGGCACUCAGGAGUCUGAGAAGAAGGAUCACUGUGAAUUCCAGCCUGGGCUACAUAGUGAGUUCCAGGGCAGUCUGGGCCAGGCUGGGAAUUUGGCUCAAAAUGCCACAGAGAAUGGCUGUAGGAUCAUGCAUUCACCAACUGCACCGACUGGGCUCUGGGUUAAAAGAGAUAAGUAAGUAGUUUAGAAAGGAGAACAUGACGCUGGGAAGGAGAGGCAAUGGAAGGUCCAGGUGGUGGUGGACGUGACCAGGGUAUGUUAUAUACAUGUAUGGAAUCUUCAAAGUUUAAAGACUGAAACACUCAGAAAGGAAAGGAUUCCCAGCUGAAUAGAGCCGACAGCAGGUGGUUGGUGACUAUGUGGUCCGCAGCUUCAUCACCUGUCCUGUGAGCAGGGAGAGGCCUGGGAAGUCCUGGCUGGAGCUCAGGUUCUAUGGCUUUGUAGUAACUCACAGGGAUGCCUUAGGACCACUGGGGGUAAAUGCUUUUCACGGGAAACUGUAAUAAUUUUAUUCCCAAAAGAAAUAGAUUUGUCAGAAAAUAAGUAAGCUUUAACCAUUAAGUAAGCUUUAAUUACUGAUACUAUUAUAAAUCUUCAGAGAUUUAUAAGUCAACCAGACUUGCCUCUAAAAAGCUUCAAAGUGAUUUUUCUUUACUAUUUGUGUGUGUGUGUGUAUGUGUGUGUGUGUGUAUGUGUGUGUGUAUGUGUGUAUAUGUGUGUAUGUGUGUGUAUAUGUGUAUGUGUGUGUGUAUGUAUGUGUGUGUGUAUGUGUGUGUGUAUAUGUGUGUGUAUAUGUGUGUGUAUGUGUGUGUGUAUGUGUGUGUAUGUGUGUGUAUGUGUGUGUGUAUAUGUGUGUGUGUAUGUGUGUGUGUAUGUGUGUGUGUGUGUGUGUGUGUGUGUACAAGCUCAGCCACUGUAACCCUAGAUCCAGAGGGAAUCAAAUGUCUCUAGCCUCCUGAGUCAGCUUCAUUUCUCUGUCGCAUAAUUCACCUCCGCAAACCCGCAAACCAUGGAGUUGAAUACCUGCCCAAAUUACACAGUGUCUGGCACAGGCAAAUACUCAAUAAAAAUGUAUUGCAAGAAUCGUAGCAUUCACUGUGCCUCCUCUUGUGGAGACUGGAUUCUCUAUAUUUGGAAGAGGUUUAGCCAGAGCAGCUGAUCUUCAUUGUACAGUAGGCGUUGUCUGCUGAGUGGAAGCCCAACAAAGGACAGUGCAGAACACCGUGGGCUUGUUAUCUAGUAUUGCGUCCACGGGAUCACGUGAAAGAAAAGUGGAAACCUGCAAGCGAUGAACCAGGUUCCUAGCCUCUCCCUGAGAGACUGCAAGGGAGAAUGUGCUGGCAACUUGGGCACACUAAUGACUCCAGAAAGAGGAAUGGGCUCACAGCAGACAGAUGACAACCUGUCUGGACCACAUGUACAGCCUGGACUCUUCCUCCUUGGAGUUGCUGUAAGAACACUCCUUAAAGCUGGAGCCACGGCUCAGUGGUUAAGAGCGACUGGCUACUUCUUCAGAGAACCGGGGUUUGAUUCCCAGCACCCACAUGGCAGCUCACCAUUUUCUGUAACCCCAGUCCCGGGGAUCCAAAGCUCUCUUCUGACAUCUGGAGGCACUUCAUGCAUGUACAAUACAGAUACACUCAAGGCAAAGCAACCAUAUGUAUAAUAAAAUAACUUUUUAUUUUUUAAAAAAGAAUGCCUUUCAGCAUGAGAAAGCCCCCAGCUCACCUGACUUUUGCAUCCGUUUGAAGUAAAUGAAUCCCACUUUGGCCUUUUCCCCCAAUGUUUUCUGUGCUUUUCUGGGUUCCUCACUUGGGAGGGGUGUGCUUUGGCCCAGAGGACACCAAGAUGAAUCAGUUUCUGUCCAUGCCAUGCACAGCCCUCACAGGGGCAGACAGGUGCAGCAGGCAGAGGAGUGACGAGUUUGGGCUUCGAGGGGCUGUGGGCGGGGCCCGGAGGUGUUGAGUGGGGCACAUGACCAGGAAUACUUCAUUUAUUCAGCAAUCUACUUUGAGACCUGCCGCAUACACAGCUCAAAGAGGAA